rnacentral:rRNA from 1 species
UACGUAGGGAGCGAGCGUUGUCCGGAUUCAUUGGGCGUAAAGCGCUUUAAGGCGGUUCGCCAAGUCGCGUGUGAAACCUCCAGGCUCAACCUGGAGACGCCACGCGAUACUAGCGUGACUAGAGUUCGGUAGGGGAUCACGGAAUUCCUGGUGUAGCGGUGAAAUGCGCAGAUAUCAGGAGGAACACCGGUGGCGAAAGCGGCUCACUGGACCAAUAACUGACGCUGGACUGCACGAAAGCUAGGGGAGCAAACAGGA